rnacentral:lncRNA from 1 species
ACCCUUUUGCUGUGAAGAUACACAAUUCUCAAUCCUUUUUUCUGAGCCACAGAAAAUCUUAUCUUUCAGCUGGUGACACUUUUAGGAUAAAGACUUUUUUCCCUUAGGGGAACCUCAGAGCUUAUCUAAUAAGGACUCCCUGGUUCAAACUUCCAAGAUCUGUAUAGGAAAUAGCUAGGGAUUUCCAUUUCCCUCUGUCCUCAUCACUCUUCAACCCUUUAUACCUAAAUAAAUAGACAUCUCGAUUUUUAAUACAGACUUCAAUUAGUUUCAAUGUGUUAGGAGGGGAACUUCAAAGAACAUCAUUUAAAGAAGGAAGACUGAGGGGAAAUUAACUUACCCUUUCAGUCCAGUCAGAACUGACUCCAUUUGUUAACAGCACAACUUAGGGGAAAAAGGAGGAAGGAAGUGGUAUUAUUUUAUAUUUAUUCCCCAAGUAGCUGACAACUUCGGUUCCUUCUCAAUUUCCCCACUAAUACAGGGUACUCCAUGAACUCCAAAGCUACAGUAGACCAGAGAUGAUUCUAGGAUUGUAUGGAGUCCCCCAUCUCUGCUCCAGAGGAAAUCUAAUAGCAACUUCAUUAGCAUACCAAAGCAAUAAUGUCACCUGUCCUGACUGCUUCACAGAGAUUUUGUAAGGAUCAAUGCCUGACACAGAGUUGAUGCAAAUCUUCUUUAUUCCUUGGAAUAGGAAAAGGGAAACAAAAUACUUUAUAAGUAAAUCAAAGGGCAAUAUAAAAAGGCA